rnacentral:rRNA from 1 species
UCGAGAAUUUUUCACAAUGGGCGCAAGCCUGAUGGAGCGACGCCGCGUGGGGGAUGAAUGGCUUCGGCCCGUAAACCCCUGUCAUUUGCGAUCAAACCUCGUUAUUUAAAAGAUGACGAGCUGAUAGUAGCGAAAGAGGAAGGGACGGCUAACUCUGUGCCAGCAGCCGCGGUAAUACAGAGGUCCCAAGCGUUGUUCGGAUUCACUGGGCGUAAAGGGUGCGUAGGUGGCGGAGCAAGUCGGACGUGAAAGCUCGGAGCUCAACUCCGAAAUGGCGUUGGAAACUGCUUUGCUUGAGGGUUGGAGGGGGGACUGGAAUGCUUGGUGUAGCAGUGAAAUGCGUAGAUAUCAAGCGGAACACCAGUGGCGAAGGCGAGUCCCUGGACAACACCUGACACUGAGGCACGAAAGCUAGGGGAGCAAACAGGAUUAGAUACCCCGGUAGUCC